CCCAUUUCCUAUGUCCAGUGAAUAUUUACUCCUCAAUCAUUUCUUUAGUCUUGAGACAAAGUGCAAGGAGAAAAUUCUGCUCUCAUUGAAAACUUAAUGCUCAGGUGGAGGACACUGCCCUUUUAUGUUCCACUAUACAGAUGGAAGGGCAGCAGUCUACCAGUGUAGCUCUGAUUCUCUUUGCUACCCAAGACAAAACUUCAAGGUAAGCACAUUGUCUCCAUGUAUGCAGAAGCACCUGGCUUCCCUUGAUGUUGGACGUGGUAAGGAAAUUGACAUAGCAUACA
rnacentral:lncRNA from 1 species